AGGAAAUGGACACAUUUCCCUGCAACAAGAUUGGUAGGAUCUUAUAAGACCUCACAACUACCCUGCUAUUUUUAUUUUAUACUUUGUGAAGAGUUGAGAUACGCAGGAAACAGGACAUCAGAUGAAAUACUAUAUCUAUUAACGAAUGAAGCUCAAAUACAUUUUCAUAUGUUGUCAAAUUACUGGAUUGGAACACAGACUGGCCG
rnacentral:misc_RNA from 1 species